rnacentral:rRNA from 1 species
ACGGGAGGCAGCAGUAGGGAAUAUUGGGCAAUGGAGGCAACUCUGACCCAGCCAUGCCGCGUGAAGGAAGACGGCCCUAUGGGUUGUAAACUUCUUUUAUCGUAGAGUAAACCUGCCCACGUGUGGGCAGUUGAGAGUAUACGAGGAAUAAGUAUCGGCUAACUCCGUGCCAGCAGCCGCGGUAAUACGGGGGAUACGAGCGUUAUCCGGAUUUAUUGGGUUUAAAGGGUGCGCAGGCGGAUCGGUAAGUCAGGGGUGAAAAGUUGGGGCUCAACUCCAAUCGUGCCUUUGAUACUGCCGGACUAGAGUGCGAUAGACGUGGCCGGAAUGUGAUGUGUAGCGGUGAAAUGCUUAGAUAUGUCACAGAACACCGAUUGCGAAGGCAGCUGUCCAGAGAUCAUCUGACGCUCAGGCACGAAAGCAUGGGUAUCAAACAGGAUUAGAUACCCUGGUA